rnacentral:lncRNA from 1 species
AGAUGAUGAGAGAGAGGGAGAUGUAUCCGGCUCCAAUGCUUUCAAACGAUCCUGCUGCUGCUGAUGCUGCCAAUUCCGUUGUUGAUGAUGAUGAUCAUCAUCAUCAUGACAAGAAUCGGCCUAGAGUUUAUCAGGCUUGGAAAGGGAGUAAUGUCAGUGACAAUGAUCCUUCUGUUUCUCUGUGUUUUCAUCCCUUUUGUAUAUAAUAAUAAUAAUUCAUCCUUUGGCUAAUUGGGUUUCUGGGUGUUAGAUAUGAUGCUAAUUUUAGAUGGCGAAGUUUGAAUCUUGCUGUUUAUAUCCCGAUUGGGUGCUGUUAGUUUUUAUAUAUCAUAUUAUGAAUGAAUAAUCUUUCUGGGUUCUUCUGAAUUUGGAUCCAUGCUUGGAUAUUAGAUUCUAUCUAGUCUGUAGUGAUAGAAGCAAAUAAUAGAAGAGCAUUGGAUUUGUGAAACAUUUUAAUGGUG